CUUCAACAGUCUUGCACGUGUCGUUGGCUUCGUCGAUUACGAUCUGAUAUAAACUAAAAAAGUGACAACAUAGAGACAAAUACAAGUAAAAACAAAAUUGAUAAUAUAGAUUCUCCAAAAUGACUGGUAGUCAUAUAACAAAUUGUUCAAAAGGGCCGUCUCAUAGAGCGGAAAUUGGCAACGGAACUCGCGACAAAUCACACACGACG